rfam:Agrilus planipennis Contig5484, whole genome shotgun sequence.
CCUCUCGUAGCUUAGUGGUCAGAACAUUGGUCCAUAAAGCUUAAGGUCCCGGGUUCGAUUCCCGACGAGGGUG